AAUCCAGAAAUAACAAACCUGUUGCAAGUCCGUUUAAAUUUUGAAUAAAAUAAAUAAUCUACUUGACGUACGGAGCUUCAAUAAUGGCUAUAUUGAAGUUUAUGGGUUUUGACUAGAUGGUGUUCAGAACUGUGGGACCAGUCAAUUGCUGUUGAAUAGUGACUGGGCUGAAGGCCCAUGUUCUGCUGGCCCAUUUCAUCUUGUAGCUGUCCUGCCCUAGAAGAGGCAGACGAGAGCCUCCUGAGGAGAGGAGCCGCCAGAGAGAGAACCAAGAAGAGAAGGACUGCUGUUGCUGCUGUUGCAGGAUCUAAUACAGAUGCCAUCAGAUCAACUUGAGGAGGGAGAUCCGCCGAAGCACUAAGCGUGGGGCUUGCGAACUUGCUGGCUGCCAAUGAAUGUAUAAUAUAUGUUAAGAUGGUUUAAAAACUUCGCAACGUAUAUGAAAUUUAUGUUUUAUAUGGUUAAAGACAUCCAUAUAUGCUGCCCCAAUAAUUUACUUUGCAUGUAUGCUGGUAGGUCCAUCCUGGUGUUUGAAAAUUUCAAUAGCAUGGUGAGGUGUUGAAGCUCAACACCUGAGUUAGCAGGUUGCCUAUUUAAUGCCUGUUUGUGAAGUGAGAUUUAUUACCAUGAAAGUUACAUGGUAUCUCAUACA